GUCCCUGUAGCGUGAUGAAUAGCGCGUUGGACUGCUAAUUCAAAGGUCGUGGGUUCGAAUCCCACCUGGGAUU
rnacentral:tRNA from 1 species